UUAUCAUUUUUCGGUGCAAAU
rnacentral:piRNA from 1 species